UUGAGGUUGAAGAAAGCCUAAGCGCCAGCCUCGCCCCUGUUUCUGCAAGAUGCUCUCUCCCUACACAGACCCGGGGCCGGGCAGUGGAGGGUGACGAGCCUGAGGCCGGAAAGUCCCAAUUCGUGGGCAUUCUGGCCAAGGGCUCUCAGAUCUGUGGAUUGUCCUAAUCUUCACAGAGAUCACAUGAGGCACAGAUUUUUACCCCAUUUCACAGAUGAGCACGUUCUGUGCUCUCUGGACAACUCUGCAGCUCCUUCUGGUUCUGAAAGUAUGGUUUCAUGACAGGAGGUCAAAGGCCACACCUAAGCCUUAUGUCCAUUAUCACGUGACCUGGGGGGUUGCUCUAUUCCCACCCGGGGCCUCCAGUUCCCACAUGAGGAUAAUAAAGCUGGCUGCAUCAUCUCUACGGGCUUUUACACAGGCUAUCCAGAAAUAGGUUCAUCACGGGGGCUUAAUUUUGUCGUCACGGGGUUUGAUUAUGACUCGAAUCUUCCUUCACCCAAACUCAGCCUUCAGACUUUAUCGCUCACACCGCAGAAUCAAACCAUGCCAUCUCAAUUAAAAAACCAUAAAGAAGAAGAAGGAAGAAAACAGGGUCUCAGAGGAAUUCACCACAGGCUUUAUCCGGGAGGGGCUGUGCCAGAAAGCCUGAGAACGGGUUAAUGUGGCAGGGCGGGUCCGGGGACAGAUGGUAGAAGUCAAGAAGCCCAGCUCCGGUCUGGACGAUUGGCAGCGAGAACGCAGGCCGUGGCAUCGGCAGGCUCCAGUGUACGUGGUUUAUGGCCAGGUCCCACUUUAGCGUAACCGCAGCUGCUAUUAAGACCCUCAAAUGCACCAUCCGUGGUUCUGAACUCUGCGUAAUGACUGAACUCUGCCUUAUCAUCAGAGGGGAGGAGAAGAACAGCGUGGAAACCAAAGGGGCUGAAAUUUCAGCUGCUGCCAGGCAGCCGGGAGCUCCAGCACGCUCCCAGAAUAGCGCGGCUGGGUUCCCGGCAGCCUCCCGCUGCACCGCAGCUGGGCUUCCGGCAAGGGAGACAGAGUCAAGCCCCAAGUGGCGCAGGGGAGUGGGCAGGGUGGGAACAGCUGCGACCAGACACUGUUGAGCAGCCUGCCAGCAGGCCCUGCCCUGCUGGAGUGCCAACUCUGGCAUGUCCAGAUCCUUCCCUUACUUCCUCCCUCACAAAUAUUGAUUGAGGCCCUACUAUGGGCAAGGCACCAAGGGAGCCAAGAUGGAUCUUUCCUUCAAAGAGCUCACACCCAGGUUGGGGACACAAGACGACGUACACUAAUGAGGCAGAAAAGUGUGUAUAAAGCACUAUCCUAGGAACUGCGAGGAAGGAUAGACGUGAAAUCUGAGUCCAGUCCCCAUCAAGCCUAUCAGCAAUUAGAGAAUCAAGAUAUUUGUGGAUAAGGUAUAAGUAAUGACACAGAGCAUUGCUAGGCUAGCAAAUCUGCCUUAGAAGGGGAGCUCUAGGGGAGCAGAGGGAGGAUGACUGUGGGAUGGGGUCACCAGCGAAAAAUCCUGGGAGGAGCACAGGACUUUCCAAGGGGACUGAUCAGAGAGGCCCUGAGGGGGCUUCCCGGACUGAGAGUCGGGGGCAGUGUGAGCAAAGCCCCAGGAAGGCAAGUCCAGUGGCCAGACUGGGAGCUGACCUCUCAGGCUGGAGUGGCCAUUUCCUGUAGGAAAGAGGAGGGGGGUGAGGCUGGCGCCCGGGGUCGAGAGCUGGCUGGGGAGCUCUUGAAUGUUGAGCGCGCAAGCUUAUCUUUCCCUGCAAGGCGGUGGGAGCCCAUGAGCCAGGGGUGAAAUCAGAGAAUGCCCCCCUGAUGGAAGGGGGUUUGCAGGGUGACUGGAGUGCUGGGGGGGGGUGGCGGUGAGAGGAAGACUGUAAGUGAGGUGAUCAGUUUGGGGCCAUGCGGCCACUGGAGUAAAGUAAAGGGUACCCCAUCCCUGAAAUGCUCUUAGAUGGGAGUGAGAUCCUCCCUCCCCUGAAGGUAAGGGGGAACUAGACACAGCAUCGUGUAUACAUUUCUUUCUCGUUUUUGGAAGGGGUGAGAAGGUGGAGGGGCCCGACUCCUUGGACCACCUGCUUUGACCCUGGUUCCUAGAUCCACUGUGCACUGAUGGACACUCUCCAGACCUGGGCAGCUCAGAAAAUCCAGUUCUCUCCUCCACAGGGAGUUGAUUAGUGGCCACUGAGCCAUGGACGGGGCGGGGGGGGUUGUGCGGUGGGGAGAACAGAUUUGUGCCCACUGUAGAUGGGCUUGGCAGCAGGAGACAUUCCAGCAGGCUCUGCCCAAGGCCCGUUUCCGGGUCCAUUUCCAGAGGGAUCAUCCAUGGGCAGCCAGUUGUGGUGAAUUAGUGUUUAACUUGCCCGCUCCCAGACCCCUGGCUUCUUGCUUCUUAAGGUGACACCUAGGGACCCGAGUCCUUAAAAAACAAAAACCGGGGGGUACCUACUGGUCUCAGUGUCAGUCCUAUAAACCCAAGAGAAAAAAGAGGCAUAGCCAGACACUGUCGGCUGGGUAGUAUUCAGUUAAUAUGGAGUCUGGGAGCAAGGAAAAGUCAAAUGCAAAAUCUGUUUACCAGCCAGUGGUAGGGCCCUCAGCUGCCUGGCACAGGAUUCCAGGUACCUACCUGUCAGGGAGCCAAGAGCCCUCACCCUCAGCUCCAGGAGGGACUGUUCUCGCUUCACUGCGGCCAGGCCCCAAGAUCAAGGGCACUCAACCCCUGUGGGGGUGAGAGGGAAGCCCUCCCCCUCCUCAGAGAAGGCAAUGGCUCCUGAGAGUGAAGCCACCCGCUGAAACUGCAAUGCAGGACUCCUGCUACCCAGGCAAAAGGCAGUCCCUCUAGGGAGCAAAACUGACCUCUAGCCUCCUGACCCCUGUGCCCCAACCAGGUGGCCAAGUUCCUCUACCGGGACUCUGAAUGGAGGGCAUUGUUGGUCCAGGGGCAGUGGACUUCUCCAAAAGGCACUGGGGGUAGUGGGCUUCCCAGGAAGGUCUCCGGGCCGUGUGCGGGGCAGGUGUGGUGGGCAGUGGGGCAGAUGCCCAAGGCUUGCAAGGUUGCAAGGCCCGUGGUGGGAGUGAAGGUAGUGGCAGACCACUGUCCAGGGGCUGCACCCCUCCGCUACUCUUACUGCCACCGGCCUAACCACAGAACAAUGGAGCCACCACGUGAUUGGCUCUGUGCCAGAUGCCGGGGACCACAAGAUGCGUGAGCCAUGCCCUUAUCUUGAGAACGGCACAGUCCGAUUGUGGAGACAACGGUGGACGGGACUGAUGAAGAUACACUGAGAUAUGAUAAGUAAACAAACCCAUAAAAAGCUGUGGGUAAAGCAAGUCCAAGUUCUUUCUGGGGAAGGUGAGGAAAGCUUCACAGAGGGACACUGGGGCUGAGCUUUGAGGCAGGGCUGAUUCUGUAAAAAUUUUGGUCAGAAAAAGGGAGGGAGGUAUGGGGCGCCUGGGUGGCUCAGUGGGUUAAGCCGCUGCCUUCGGCUCAGGUCAUGAUCCCAGGGUCCUGGGAUCGAGCCUCGAAUCGGGCUCUCUGCUCAGCAGGGAGCCUGCUUCCUCCUCUCUCUCUGCCUGCCUCUCUGCCUGUUUGUGAUCUCUCUCUGUC